rnacentral:tRNA from 1 species
UAGAAGGUAGUAUAAUUUGGCAGUACGCAAGGUUUUGGUCUUUGUGGUGCGGGUUCGUGGCCCGGUCUUUUA